rnacentral:rRNA from 1 species
GACGAACGCUGGCGGCGUGCCUAACACAUGCAAGUCGAGCGGAGUCAGUAAGAGGAAGUUUUCGGAUGGAAUCUUAUUGAUUUAGCGGCGGACGGGUGAGUAACGCGUGAGCGACCAACCCUGCACAGGGGGGUAACGGACCGAAAGGUUCACUAAUACCGCAUGAGACCACGGUGUUGCAUGACACAGGGGUCAAAGGAGUAAUCCGGUGCAAGACGGGCUCGCGUCCGAUUAGGUAGUUGGAGGGGUAACGGCCCACCAAGCCUAUGAUCGGUAGCCGAGCGGUGAGGGUGAUCGGCCACAUUGGAGCUGAGAUACGGUCCAAACUCCUACGGGAGGCAGCAGUGGGGAAUAUUGGGCAAUGGGGGAAACCCUGACCCAGCAACGCCGCGUGAAGGAAGAAGGUUUUCGGAUUGUAAACUUCUGUCCUUGGUGAAGAGAAGAAGACGGUAGCCAAGGAGGAAGCCCCGGCUAACUACGUGCCAGCAGCCGCCGUAA